GUGAUAUUUACAUUGCGGGAUUACGACUGCUUCUAGUGACGGACAGCCAGCCACUAAAGGUGCUUCCGGCUGUUUCAUGGAGUUUAAUAGGACGUCCUCACGCUUUGCAUUUGGACAUCCUGCGUCUUCAAAAUCCCCAUAGGAAAGCAUUGUUUCAAUGCUUUCCUAUGAGAAAGGCUUAAUGCACUUGCAGUGCUCGCCGCGCAUGCACAAAGGAUCCCCCUCGUGAUAACAUUAAAAGAGGCAGAGAUGGGGAUUGUGCUACGGGUCCUUGGCGCUGGAAUAAGGUAAGUGAAAAGAGGUCUUUUUAACCCUUUGAUCUUUGUUCCUUUAAGUCGAUUUAAUAAAUAGCUUAGUGUUUGUGUAUUCCAUUACUGUAACUGGAUUAAAGAUAUGUCUUUCAACUAAGGGACUAUAGGUGUAUGCAAUCGGUGUG